GAGGAAGAAGAUGAUGGCCGUUUAAUCGUUGGAUGCUUUGCUGGUUUUGAUGGGUCCCGUUCCAUUAGGCUUCUCCGACACUCUUCACAUGGUCACCAUUCCCAAUUGAUUGAGGAAGAAACAAAACAAGGAAUUAGCAUACGAUACGUGGCAUACAUGCAAAGCAAACAGAAAGCAACUGUGAUGACCUUUCGGUGACUCCUACCUAAUAUAUAUUUUUUCAAUAACUGAUUUCUUUUUUAUUUUUAAUUUUCAAUUAUUAUUCCAAACUCUCCCUAAAAAGGCUCUGGGCCCAUUUGCAUACAAGCCCAUUAUACUUGCAUCUGCUACGCAAGACAGUCCACAUAUUCAACAAGGGUCCGUACGGAGACGAAUAGACAAUGUCUGUUUGGAGACGAGAAUAGGAAAUUUCUUCUUGGGAUUGCUUACCAACAUUGCUACGUGGUGCUUUGAUUACCAAUUUUCAGCUGUCUUCUUCAUCAUCUAUUUAAAUGAAACAAUCACAGGUGUCUUCACAGGCACCGUCCUUUUUAAGCUUUUGUUUUUGUCAUAAACAUCAUUUGCCAUUUCUCAAAUCCAACUAUAAUUAUGUUGAGAGCAUUAACUUCCCAUCUCAUUAUCAUUGCUUUAUUUGAAAAUUGUAUCUUUUGUUGUUGUCCUAUUUACAGAACAAUUAUAAUUCUUGGGUCCAACAAACCCAAAAGACAAUUAUUCCAUCAUCGCCGAGAUAUCUAUUAUGACUUCUGUAUUUAUCCUCGUUGUCGACAUUUUCAAUCAAUGUCUAUACCUGUUAGUAAAGCAGGCUUCAGGAGAGACAAGAAACAUUAUUUAUCAGAUGAUAAAAUUUUAUUUACUCACAUAAAAGCCCUUGCAAAAAGGCUGUGAAUUUUCUGUUAAGAUCCCACACAACGAGAUUACACACGUUAGUUGGUGAAUUCUCUUUUACCCUGAUUGAAAUAACAUUCAUCAGGAAGAGAA